ensembl:lncRNA
GGGGGGGGGUCAGCGAAAUUAUUUCAGGCGGCCAAUCACGAGGAUCAGCGCUCAGCCAUCUGACUCUGAAGUGACUCCCUUUCCAGAAACACCUUGGGGUAAACAAAAAUAAAAAAAAUAAAAAGAUUUCCCAAUCACAGUCAGAUGCUGUUGAUUUUCAUUAAUUCACAGAGCUUCCAUGUUUGCCAAUUUGGAGCGCUUCCCCCCCUCGUCUCUUACUCACUCUCUCUCUGACUGUGCUUCAGGGCUGGUGGCAGUGUGGAGUUUUUCCUCAUCUCGUGGCACUUAAAUUAAAUGGAAUCAGCCUGGCUGUUGGAAACUGCAGGGCUAGGUGAUAAAAGCAAUUAGAGGCCUCUAAUUUUUCGCCCAGGGACAGGGCAGCCAAGGCCCAGGAGACAAUUAACUCCUAUAUAAUGAAGUCCCUUUCUGUUGCCGUUUUGAUUCACAUUUUAUGUCAGAUGGCUCUUUUUGCAGUCUUUUUUUUUUCUUUUUCUUUUUUUUUCUUUUUACUCCUGUGUGCGAUCGGACAAACAGGUCUUUGCUGAGGUUCUUUUUUCUCUCUCUCUCUCUCUCUCUCUCUCUUUCUCCUUCUCGCUUGCUCUCUCACUUUCUCUCCUCCAGUCUUUGAGUGUCUGGGAGAUGAAAACAGAUCUUUAGUUAAUAGGCUCUCUGUGGACAGAUAGGUCUAUUAGGAGGGCAAUUUGGAAAUGAGUGAGAGUGGGGAGCUGAAUGUUAGACGGCAUACCGGCCUCCUCUAGCCUCUGUUCACCCCCCACACCCACACAGACACACAGACGCACAGACACUGAUGAAUUCAAAGCCCAGCUGUCGAGUAGUACGCCACACACUCCAACAAUACAAUUACACCGCUGCUGACCAUAGUGAAAAAAUAUGGCAGAUGAAUUAAAAAUGUUUUUACAAACAGUGAAAUCAACUGAAAUGACACCUCAAUUUAACAGGAAGCAACAAUUUGAACAGUUUAAGUACCUGUAAUAAAUUCACCUCAAUGACAUCAGAAAUGUAUCGCCUAUACAUAAUUUCACAUGCAUAAUAUAAUACAUGUGACAAAUCAUAAAUGA